AACGAGAUUUUUUAAAGCAUAAAUGUUUCUGCCCUAUACUCUUAAUGUGUAAAAUAUUGGUGUCCCCUUCUAGUUAAGAAAUCGAGGUGGGCUGGAGCCGCUGGCAGAGCUCCUGCACUCCAAGAAUGAUGAAGUCAGAAGGCAUGCCAGCCAGGCUGUGAUGGUCUGUGCCAACGAUGAGCUGACAGCCACUGAGCUGUGUAGGCUUGGGGCUUUGGAUAUCCUUGAGGAAAUUAAUCUAUCAGUAAGUCGAAAAAAUAAAUUCAGUGAGGCAGCUUACAACAAAUUGCUCAACAAUAAUCUUCCCCUGAAAUAUAGCCAGAUUGGCUAUUUGUCAUCAAAUAACAUAAUUAGUGAUGGAUUCUAUGAUUAUGGUCGGAUAAAUCCUGGCACCAAACUUCUGCCCCUGAAGGAGCUCUGCUUGCAAGAACCUGGUGAUCAACGUGCUGUUCUCUUAAUCAACAAUAAAUCUGUUGAUGUUUCUCUACCUAUGGAAGAUAAAUCGUCAGACCUCAGUUAUGGACGAAGUAUUUCUUCUUCAUCUUCAUUAAGAAGAGCAAGUAAAGACAAGACCAAUAUUGGAUUUGGAUCGCCCACAGAACUGAAAUCAGAACCUACUUCGGGACGAAAUACUGUUCUUAGCAAAAGUGCCACUAAAGAGAAAGGAUCGAGGUAGGAAAUGUGUGUUGUGUUCUAAUUAUAAAUCAUACCAAGUUUUAAUUACCCAGCAAAGUUGGU
rnacentral:lncRNA from 1 species